rnacentral:rRNA from 1 species
GAUGAACGCUGGCGGCGUGCCUAAUACAUGCAAGUCGAACGAAGAUCUAGCUUGCUAGAUCUUAGUGGCGAACGGGUGAGUAAUACAUAAAUAAUCUGCCCAUAUGACUGGGAUAACUAUUGGAAACGAUAGCUAAUACCGGAUAGGUUGAUCGGAGGCAUCUCUGAUGAAUUAAAGUAGGAUUUCUACACAAAUGGAUGAGUUUAUGGCGCAUUAGUUAGUUGGUGGGGUAACGGCCUACCAAGACGAUGAUGCGUAGCCGACCUGAGAGGGUGACCGGCACCACUGGGACUGAGACACGGCCCAGACUCCUACGGGAGGCAGCAGUAGGGAAUUUUCGGCAAUGGGCGCAAGCCUGACCGAGCAACGCCGCGUGAGUGAUUAAGGCCUUCGGGUUGUAAAGCUCUGUUGUAAGGGAAGAACAUUCAGGAUAGGAAAUGAUCUUGAACUGACGGUACCUUACCAGAAAGCCACGGCUAACUACGUGCCAGCAGCCGCAGUAA